UACGGAGGGUGCAAGCGUUGUCCGGAAUCACUGGGCGUAAAGGGCGCGUAGGCGGCAAUUCAAGUCAUCUGUGAAAUCUCCGGGCUUAACCCGGAACGGUCAGGUGAUACUGUUUUGCUAGAGUGCGGAAGGGGCAAUCGGAAUUCUCGGUGUAGCGGUGAAAUGCGUAGAUAUCGAGAGGAACACCAGAGGUGAAGACGGGUUGCUGGGCCGACACUGACGCUGACAGCGCGAAAGCCAGGGGAGCAACGGG
rnacentral:rRNA from 1 species